CUUCAUCUUCUCAUCCUCUAUCUUGAAUCUUCACACAUAUAUCCUGUGGAAAAUACCAUAGAAAAAUCUCUUUCCAAUCUUGUGUGAAACAGCACAGCACUACUCUUUUCCAUCUUUCUUGCUUCAUUAUUCAUUAAUGGCUGCAAAAAGACUGCCCAGUAACAAACACUUGUAAUAUUAGUGAGGAGAAAAAUACAUGAACUUUCGUUUGAAGAAUAUGAUACUAGCUAGUAAGCUUAUUCAUAUAGAGCUUGAGAAAAUGGAGAUUCAUUACCAAUUUCCUAUGGUUACCACCGGCCAUUAUCGGCACCGGCCGGCGAGCCACCGUUUGCCGCUCCCGGAGCUUAUUCAGAUUAUGAAUAACUUACUCUCUCUUAUUGACACCUAUUUGGAUGAAGUUGAUGUUCAAGAAAAGUACAUGAAAUACCCUCUUCAACUGAGGAAAUAUACUAGAUUUGUCUCCCAACUUGAUAAGUUGAAAUUCUUCAGUAUGUAAUUACACAUUUUUUCAUUUGUUCAGUAUGUAAUUAGCUUAUUCAUUCAAACAUUUGGUUGUGGCUAUUUGAUAAUAUCAGACUGUUUAACCAAAGUAUUCUCUUGUUUUGUGCCAAAACUUGAAUAAAGAGGAGGUCACCAUAUAUGUUCAA